rnacentral:rRNA from 1 species
CUUGGGCAUCUGUACUAAAAGGACCUUUUUCGGAAGGUAUGCUUAAAGAGGGGCUUGCGUCACAUUAGUUAGUUGGCAGGGUAAAGGCCUACCAAGACUAUGAUGUGUAGCUGGACUGAGAGGUUGAACAGCCACAUUGGGACUGAGACACGGCCCAAACUCCUACGGGAGGCAGCAGUAGGGAAUUUUCGGCAAUGGAGGAAACUCUGACCGAGCAACGCCGCGUGAACGAUGAAGUAUUUCGGUAUGUAAAGUUCUUUUAUUGAAGAAGAAAAAAUAGUGGAAAAACUAUCUUGACGAUAUUCAAUGAAUAAACCCCGGCAAACUAUGUGCCAGCAGCCGCGGUAAUACAUAGGGGGCGAGCGUUAUCCGGAAUUAUUGGGCGUAAAGGGUGCGUAGGCGGUUUAAAAAGUCUAUAGUUUAAUUUCAGUGCUUAACACUGUCCUGCUAUAGAAACUAUUAGACUAGAGUGAGAUAGAGGCAAGUGGAAUUCCAUGUGUAGCGGUAAAAUGCGUAAAUAUAUGGAGGAACACCAGAGGCGUAGGCGGCUUGCUGGGUCUUUACUGACGCUGAGGCACGAAAGCGUGGGGAGCAAACAGGAUUAGAUACCCUGGUAGUCCACGCCGUAAACGAUGAGUACUAAGUGUCGGGAUUACUCGGUACUGAAGUUAACACAUUAAGUACUCCGCCUGAGUAGUACGUACGCAAGUAUGAAACUUAAAGGAAUUGACGGGACUCCGCACAAGCGGUGGAUCAUGUUGUUUAAUUUGAAGAUACACGAAAAACCUUACCAGGUCUUGACAUACUCUGCAAAGCUAUAGCAAUAUAGUGGAGGUUAUCAGAGAUACAGGUGGUGCAUGGUUGUCGUCAGCUCGUGUCGUGAGAUGUUAGGUUAAGUCCUAAAACGAGCGCAACCCUUGUCAUUAGUUGCCAGCAUGUCAUGAUGGGCACUUUAAUGAGACUGCCAAUGAAAAAUUGGAGGAAGGUGAGGAUCACGUCAAAUCAUCAUGCCCCUUAUGAUCUGGGCUACAAACGUGAUACAAUGGCUGUUACAAAGAGUAGCUGAAACGCAAGUUUAUAGCCAAUCUCAUAAAAGCAGUCUCAGUUCGGAUUGAAGUCUGCAACUCGACUUCAUGAAGUUGGAAUCGCUAGUAAUCGCGAAUCAGCAUGUCGCGGAUUACUGGCC